AAUCUGAAGUUAAGGCUCAAUUCUCAGUCGUUUUGCAGGCGAGUAUUUUGCAUCAGUGAAUAAGUUCAACAGAUUUGGUAGUGAUGGUGUGUGAGGGGAAG